rnacentral:rRNA from 1 species
UACAGGGGGUGCAAACGUUGCUCGGAAUCAUUGGGCGUAAAGCGCACGUAGGCGGUUCGUUAUGUUGGAUGUGAAAGCCCUUGGCUUAACCGAGGAAGUGCAUCCGAAACUGGCGAGCUAGAGUACGAAAGAGGAUCGCGGAAUUCCCGGUGUAGAGGUGAAAUUCGUAGAUAUCGGGAGGAACACCGGUGGCGAAGGCGGCGAUCUGGGUCGAUACUGACGCUGAGGUGCGAAAGCGUGGGGAGCAGACAGG